rnacentral:rRNA from 1 species
UACGAAGGGGGCGAGCGUUGUUCGGAAUUACUGGGCGUAAAGGGCGCGCAGGCGGCCUUGGAAGUCAGAUGUGAAAGCCCCGGGCUCAACCUGGGAAUGGCAUUUGAUACUCUGAGGCUGGAGUGCGGGAGAGGAGAGUGGAAUUCCCAGUGUAGAGGUGAAAUUCGUAGAUAUUGGGAAGAACACCGGUGGCGAAGGCGGCUCUCUGGACCGUAACUGACGCUGAGGCGCGAAAGCGUGGGGAGCAAACAG